rnacentral:rRNA from 1 species
AGCAGAAGGGGCAGAGCUGUGGCUGCACUAUGUCGAGAUGAGCAGGGCAACUACCUGGGGUCCUCGGCAGUGGUCUAUGGAGGUGUAACUGAUCCCACGAUCUUGGAAACCUUUGCUUGCAGGGAGGGAUUAGCUUUGGCAGAAGAUCUAAAUGUUCAUGAGGUGGUUCUGACUUCAGACUGUGAGGGAGUUGUCAAUGACAUCAAUGAUGGAACAAGUGGACCGAACGCAGCAAUCAUACAUGAAAUAACAGCUCGUAGUUCUGGUUUUGCUUUCUGCAAGUUUAUUUUUGAGCGUAGAAACUUCAAUUUUAAGGCUCAUAAUCUCGCAAAGUAUGCAUGUAAUUUAGGUAUAGGUAGACAUGUGUGGUUGGGUAAUCCUCAUAACCCAGCUAGUGUAUCUAUGAACAUUCCUCUGAAUCAAUAA